GAGGUGUCUUGAAGCAAAAAGAAAUCAUUUGGUAAUCACUUAUUUGCUGAUGGAGAUACUCUUGGAAAAUUUACUAAUAAUCCUGUGGGUGCCACUGACAUGGGUGCGUGCUCAACAGCUGGAUCAGAGUCCUCAGUCCAUGUCCAUCCAGGAAGAGGAUAUUUCCAUGAACUGCACUUCCUCAAGUACAUUGAACAGCUUGCUGUGGUACAAGCAGGAUCUUGGCCAAGGUCCUGACCUCUUGAUAGCUUUAUACAAGAUGGGUGAAUUGACCAGAAUUGGAAAACUAACUGCACAGUUUAGUGAAACAAGGAAGCAGAGUUAUCUGACCAUCUCAGCCUCCCAGCUUGAACAUGCAGGCACCUACUUCUGUGCGGGUUUGCACAGUGUUCUACAAGCACCUGCAGCCUAUACUUAAACCAGUGACUGGGACUGCAGUCACUGG